rnacentral:lncRNA from 1 species
GGACCCAUACCCAGUGGAAAAGUGCCUUGGAAGGCAUUUGCCUCAGAUCCAGGGCCUGUUUUAUUUGGAGAACAAUUGGAAAUGAUGAGAGGCCUAACAUGCAAAUUCUCCUUGGCAGCCCCCCGACGGAGGCGGGAGAGAUGCAUUUCCCAUCUGUGGGCCCACGUGCGGGAAGGACGAGGUGCAGGCCUAGACUCGCUGCGUCAACAAGGCAAGCAGGCUACUGGGUCUGUGUGUUAUUUUCUUCGGAGUAAUCAGCGUUUUCCAACCGCGAGACCUUCCAUUAAGGAUUUUCAACUAAAACACAGGACUGCAGAAUCUAAUUCAUGAGAAGUCUCCCAACCAGAGCCCCUGAGAGACAGACUUCUGAGUGUGGAGGUUGUUCCCUAAGCUUGAGGCAAUAUUUACAUGACCAAGGGCACCGCUGGAGCAGUGAGGUGCCUUCUGGGCUCCGGAUAUUGGGAAAUGACACUUGAGGGGCCCUCACGUGCAUUUCACGAUGCCCUUUUCAGACUGUUUGCACAUCUCACCUCCUCCCACUCCACCAAUAAGGGAGGGUGAUAGGGUCCACAUGGGGUCUCACUGAUAAGAUGGCUCAUUAUGUCAACCUCACAAACAAAGAAUAAAAUCACAGUGACCCGUGAGACUGACCAAAUUGCGCAAAUGGCAUGCUGUUUUCUCACUGGUGCCUAUCUUCUCAAAGCUGCGAGACCACCAGAUUCCAGACCUCUGGAUAUGUAACCAUCCCCUCAGAGAAUUUUUCAUUGGUGGGGUAUAAGAAGGACUCCAUCAGAAAGGGAGGAUGCCGGUUCUCAUUAAGAGCCAGUCACCCUCUCUUUUCCCUCUAAUAAAUUUCCCUUUCCUUGCCUGACUGCCUGGCUUGCUCUCUUUUUCUCUGCACUUGCCUUACGGAGGGCAAAUAUUUUUUUCACUUGGAAAAAAAAAA